AGGGAUCAUUACACAAUAUGAAAGCGGGCUGGCAUCCUUCGGGGUUACAGCCUUGCUGAAUUAUUCACCCGUGUCUUUUGCGUACUUCUUGUUUCCUUGGUGGGUUCGCCCACCAUAGGACAAACCAUAAACCUUUUGUAAUUGCAAUCAGCGUCAGAAAAAAAAAAUUAAUAAUUACAACUUUUAACAACGGAUCUCUUGGUUCUG
rnacentral:misc_RNA from 1 species